GAUCGCCGGAUGUGGGUGGGUGGGUGGCCUUAGUGCCGCGCACGCGCCGGAAUGUUCUCCAGGUAAGGGGCAGCGUCCGUGUACGGACGCUCCCAGGGCUCGGAAGCUCCGUGUCUGUCCUGUCCCGGGUGCGGCUUGGAGCCGCUCGGUAAGUGUCUCGGGAUUAGGACCCCCGGGCUUCCCCACUCGUGCUCCGUGGGCUCCGGUCCGGUCGCGCGGCGCCUGCCUCCGCCGUUGCCCUGCUCCGCUUGCUUUUCUGUGAUUGUGCGUGAGCCCCAGCCCAGCUUCUCAGCGCGAAUUACCAUGCUUUGCCCGGCUCAUACCCGGAGUUUGAAUCUUGUCGGCUGCUCCUCCUCUCUCGCAAUUAUCAACAUUGACGUUCCCUUUCCCCAUCACUCACAUGUUGUGAAUUCUAUGGCAUGGCGUUCAUCACCCUGCGGAGGGCCUUUUGUCAUAAGUCCAUUCUUUGGAUACCUGGAGCUGUGGUUGCUCUGAAAAUUCACCCUGCCAGUCAUGCCCCAAAGGCAGUCACAGAUCGCCUGAGUGUGUGCUUCUGCUCCCUACAACCUGAGCUGUUCAGGGUCAGAUUCCAUCACGCAUACUGUAAAAACUUCCACUCAGAAAAGGGAAAUGACUUUCAUCCCGUGGGCGAGCCAUGGUCCUCCCAGGCGCAGGAAUGGAACCAGCCAGGACAGAGUCUUCAAAACGAGGAUGAAGAGAUGCUUUUCAGGAGACUAAGCUACUUCACUUCCUUUGAGGAAGUGCUGAGUUUCAUAAGUGCCCUGGACACCCUGCCUGUCCCUCUGGCAAUGGCAGCUCUACUCAGGAUCUGUGAGAUAGGGAGGAGGGAUGGUGAGCAAAGGCUGCCAGAAGGAGUGCUGGAGAACCGUGCCUUCCAGGCUCUUUGCCUCCGGUGUGAGCGAGACCCCUCACACCUGACCAAUGCUGGUUUGGUGACAGCUUUGCAAUCUCUGCUUACGUUGUUGCCUGCAGAUCCUCAAAGUAGCCUGAUGCUGAGCCUGGUGGCAGAAUGCCAACGUCGUCUCCAAAGAGGCAACCUCGAAGUCCACCAUCUUUGUGUCCUUGGGGAAAGUCUGGCCAUGCUUCAAGGUGCGAGUUGUGAGACCCUGAAGCUGGUUGUCCGUCAACUUCAAAGUAAAAGUGUGGAAACAUUUGCUCCAGAGGAGAUCACGUCCGUUUAUAGGAUUCUGCAGGUGUGUCCUGAAGAAGUAGACAAACACCAGAUGUUCUUAAACACAUUAAACAACUUCUCCAUUUCAGUAGUUCCCUACCUGAGCCCUAAAUCCAUUAGCCAUGUCCUCACCGCCUUAGUGGCCCUGGACCAGACUCACGCACUCCCACUGCUUAUAAAGCUGGGCAAGUACGUUGUGAGAUACAUCCCCCGUUUUACCAACGAAGAGCUCAGGAAGGUCUUGGAGGCGUUUGUCUAUUUCGGACACAGUGACAGGUUCUUCACAGAGGCCUUAGAGCAACAUGUGUCCGCCCUGUGCUUCUCCCUGGACCCCGCUGUGGCCAGCUCCGUGAUGGGGUACUGCAGCAGGAAACGGAUUCUCUCCAAGCCCAUCUUCGACGUAGUCUCAGAGAUCGUUGUUUGCCAGUGGGACAGACUUUCACCUAGUCAGAUUGCCGAGCUAAUUGAGCCAUUUGGAAAGCUCAAUUACGUGCCACCAAACGCCCCUGCCCUGUUUAGGAAGGUAGAAAAUGUGCUCUGUGCCCGUUUACAUCACUUCCCACCAAAGAUGCUACUGAGGCUCCUUCAUUCAUGUGCGCUGAUUGAGCGACAUCCCGUCAACUUCAUGUCAAAACUAUUCAGCCCCUUUUUCCUUCAGCGGCUGCAAGGUAAAGAGUCAUAUUUGGACAGAUUGAGCCUGGCACAGCUGACCCAACUUUUCCUAACCUCCGUCCUAGAGUGUCCGUUCUAUAAGGGCCCCAAACUUCUUCCUAAAUAUCAAGUGAAGUCAUUUCUCACUCCAUGCUGCUCCUUAGAGACGCCCCUGGAUCUCCAUCUGUAUAAGUCUGUGGUGAUUGGACUGAUUGAUCUUUUAGGAUCAAGACUGUAUUUUGCUUCAAAGGUGUUGACGCCCUAUUACUACACUAUAGCCUCGGCCCUCUGAUAAAGGCAUUGUGGAAGAAAUGAACCAGCACGAGGAACACAGGAAGAUAGUGUUGUUGAGGGAUUUUUCCUUUCUUUUGCCAGAUGUUGAAGUUAAAUUAGAUGAAGAUGGAUUUGUAUUGCCGUGUACAGUGGAUGAGGAUAUCCACAAAAGGGUGGCGCUGUGUAUUGAUGGGCCACAGCGAUUUUGCUUGGACAGUAAACACUUACUUGGAAAAGAGGCUACUAAGCAGAGACACCUGCGGUUACUUGGUUACCAGGUUGUUCAGCUUCCCUAUCAUGAGCUGGAGCUGCUUACAUCAAGACUUGAGUUGGUGGACUAUUUACAAAGGAAGCUGUUUUCUCAAAGCUCCGCUGUCCACUGGUAAUAGAGGAAACUGGCUUCAGGAUUCUCGGUGAAAAAGAUGAUAUUUGUAAGAGAGACAGUUUAAUCUGUGAAUUAGCCACUCUAUGGAAAUUAUGUUUACAGACUUGGGAUCUGAAAAGGGUCUGCGGUUUUUCUUAUACCAUGUAUAUGUGUAUUGGUGGUAAAUUUGGAAUUAAUUUAAUGCUAGUAUCUUAGAUGCCUUCACCGCAUCGAGCAGGAUUAUUCAAAUGCAAUAAAGCAAUGUAACAAGUAAA